GCUGGGCGUGGUGGCAGGCACCUGUAAUCCCAGCUACUUGGGAGGCUGAGGUGGGAGAAUCACUUGAACCUGGGAGGCGGUGGUUGCAGUGAGCCGAGAUCGCGCCACUGCACUCCAGCCCAGGUGACAGAGUGAGACCCCACCUCAA
ensembl:misc_RNA Metazoa_SRP Metazoan signal recognition particle RNA